rnacentral:lncRNA from 1 species
GGGUGAGAAGCCAUUCCUUAAUUUUUGAGGUGGUUCAAUUUGUGCCACAUGUCCGCAAAAUGAAUAAUAUUACAAAUGGAAUUAUAUUAUUUGGAUGUAUUUGGUGAAUUGAGCAUACGAGUAAGUUUUUGUUAUGUUCUCAAAAUAUAAAGCUCAUUUAUGCUACCCCAUUUUCAGCUCAUUUUUCCUUCAGAUGUGAUGUCUCAGCCGCCUACAUGUUAGAUUCAAGAGGUUCUCUUGUGGUACCUCAAUUCAGGAUUCUGCAUCUGUUGUUCCUCCUGCUUACUCCCAACCUUCAUUUAUGAUGAUUAUGACCAAUGCACCGCUAAGUUUAAACGGUGAGGUCCCUCACGCCUUAACUUCGAUCUGAAUUCUGGUUUUGCAAUUGAAGGAGGUCCUGUGGGUUGGAGGCAACUUUUCAUGACUGGUCAAUGCAGGUCUAUGGAAGAGCUUUUGAGGACCAACCUUUAACCUCCUCGAGCUCUGCAGCGGGUGGGAUAAGGAGGGACCACACGGUGGUUGGUACUUGGAAGCCUUGCAAUUUACAAUAUUGGCAUCCACAGCCUCCAUGAAGAUAAAGACCACACCUGUUGCUCUUCCAAUGUGAGUUCAUAAAUCCAAUCGCACUGAUUGAGAGAUUCAUUUGCAAGGAUAAUUUUAGGUAUGCAAAAACCCAUUGACUUAAGCGACGGGAAGAUGGAUUGAACAAAAAUAGGGAGAAUUAUGAACGUAAUAUCAUUCAUGAGAUUAAUUGCAGAAAAGAAUGGGUUUUAUUUGGUUAGUUUCCUAUUUCCUUUUGUCUCAGAUUACCGCGAUCAUAGAAGAAAGCCUGGUACAGAAAUUUAAAGGAAGAAGUUGCCUAUACGGCGUCGUUUUUGCACCAUUUCUUGACGGCAGGGCAGUCGACUAAUUUUGAUCGCCGAUUUUUUUCUGUUCUCAUUUCUGGCCUGUUACUGAAAAGUUGUACGCUUCAAGGGAAUUUUAGCGUCUUCACAGAGAAUCCGUACUUGGAUACAAUAGAAAAUUUUCACACUUCUCCAAAGAUAU